CCACCAGAAAGGGGGGAGGGACAAUGAAAGAAUAACUCGGAAUAAAAUAUAAAAUUCGCGCUCUUCUUACAUUCCGAUCGACCAUUGUAUUGUCAGCGCCAUCUCUUGGAGAUCUGGAGAAUGUGUCGCACCUGCAAAGUACGGCGAGACAGAACCUCUGUAGUACCACAAGUGAUUGAGGCAGUGCAUAUGGCUAACUGAUUAGCUUCCGAUGCAGAACAUCCCGGAAGGCGAUUGAGGAUCUCCCACCCCUUUACCCUAGGAGGUAAGAAUUAGAGAGUAAGAUGGAAUCUGAUUGAGAGAACAACAUCCUCCUGACUAAAUCAGAAAAAUCUGCCGUAUACCUCCUUUUAUUCUUCCAAAUCGAUGACAAAAAUUGUACUUGGAUAAAGUUUUGUAAUUUUCAAAAGUAUUUGAAAACUUAUUAAUUGUAUUGUUUUUAAUAAAACUGCACACGA